rnacentral:rRNA from 1 species
CCUACGGGAGGCAGCAGUGGGGGAUAUUGCACAAUGGGGGAAACCCUGAUGCAGCGACGCCGCGUGUAGGAAGACGGUCCUCUGGAUUGUAAACUACUGUCCCCAGGGACGAAGAUCACGGUACCUGGGGAGGAAGCUCCGGCUAACUACGUGCCAGCAGCCGCGGUAAUACGUAGGGAGCGAGCGGUGUCCGGAAUUACUGGGUGUAAAGGGAGCGUAGGCGGGGAUGCAAGUUGGGUGUUAAAUCUACCGGCUCAACUGGUAGUCGCACUCAAAACUGCAGCUCUUGAGUGAAGUAGAGGCAGGCGGAAUUCCUAGUGUAGCGGUGAAAUGCGUAGAUAUUAGGAGGAACACCAGUGGCGAAGGCGACUUUCUGGACAGUAUCUGACGUUGAGGCACGAAAGUGUGGGGAGCAAACAGGAUUAGAUACCCGAGUAGUC